rnacentral:rRNA from 1 species
UACGAAGGGGGCUAGCGUUGUUCGGAAUUACUGGGCGUAAAGCGCACGUAGGCGGACUAUUAAGUCAGGGGUGAAAUCCCGGGGCUCAACCCCGGAACUGCCUUUGAUACUGGUAGUCUCGAGUCCGGAAGAGGUGAGUGGAAUUCCGAGUGUAGAGGUGAAAUUCGUAGAUAUUCGGAGGAACACCAGUGGCGAAGGCGGCUCACUGGUCCGGUACUGACGCUGAGGUGCGAAAAGCGUGGGGAGCAAACAGG